rnacentral:rRNA from 1 species
GAUGAACGCUGGCGGCGUGCCUAAUACAUGCAAGUCGAGCGAACGGACGAGAAGCUUGCUUCUCUAAUGUUAGCGGCGGACGGGUGAGUAACACGUGGAUAACCUACCUAUAAGACUGGGAUAACUUCGGGAAACCGGAGCUAAUACCGGAUAAUAUUUUGAACCGCAUGGUUCAAAAGUGAAAGGCGGUCUUGCUGUCACUUAUAGAUGGAUCCGCGCUGCAUUAGCUAGUUGGUAAGGUAACGGCUUACCAAGGCAACGAUGCAUAGCCGACCUGAGAGGGUGAUCGGCCACACUGGAACUGAGACACGGUCCAGACUCCUACGGGAGGCAGCAGUAGGGAAUCUUCCGCAAUGGGCGAAAGCCUGACGGAGCAACGCCGCGUGAGUGAUGAAGGUCUUCGGAUCGUAAAACUCUGUUAUUAGGGAAGAACAUAUGUGUAAGUAACUGUGCACAUCUUGACGGUACCUAAUCAGAAAGCCACGGCUAACUACGUG